AAAACCGGUUCUCGUCCGAUCACCGAAGUUAAGCAACGUCGAGCUCGGUUAGUACUUGGAUGGGUGACCGCCUGGGAAUACCGGGUGUUGUAG
rnacentral:rRNA from 1 species